AAAAGAUUUUAUUAAAAAAAAUUAUAUAGUAUUUGUAUUAAGAAACCCUCUUGCCCCAAGUCUUAAUUUCCUCUGCUCUCUCAACGAAGAACCCUCUUUAUAGAAGACGCUCCUUGGACUUCUCGAAGCUUCCUCUACGACUUAACAGUGAGACCACGAUCGGAUUCAAUGAAGGGCCUUAGCAAGAGAACUCGAAAGAGGAGGAACGCGCCUGGAAAACCCUAGGUUCGCGAUGAUACUCUAGGAGCGGAAAGGAUUCAAAGCGGAGUGAAAAAUAGGAAGAUUGUUCGGUGAGAAAUGCGAUUUAGGUCGCGUGUUCGGUGGAAAAGGACAAUUCAACGACUGAAUCGGUGAAACAGUGCCAAAAUGAGGAUGUAAUCGAUGGAAAAGGCUGUAACGAGGACAAAUGAAGUUGCAAAAUAUGAUUCGGUGAUGUCAAUCACGACGAUGAAGGCUCUGUGAGAGUGAUGAGGUGAGGACAUUCGCGAGCUCGAGAAGAAGCUAGGUUGAGGUUGUUGGACUCGUGAAAGCUUAAACCGUAGCCGCUGUGUGACCGGGCUAUUGUUCCAUAACCACCAUUGCAUCUUCUCACCUCCUACGAGGGUUUCCAAGGUUAGUGCAUUCAUAUUAGGUUUAGUUAAUUACUUUGUUAAAUAUGGUUUGGAUUGGGCAUGUUUUUGGAAAAGGGUUGUUUGAGACAUAUAAGUAUAAAGAAUAAAGCCACACAUAAUGGGGUUAUCAAACUGAUGUUCCUUUGAUACCAUACUUUAAGUAUAAUCUUAUCUCAGUUUCGAAGCUUGUUUCUCCAAACAUGUUUCUCAUUCAUAAGUAAUUUUUUUUUUACUAAUGAUGGUUAUUUUGUCCAGGAUUCGAGAGUGGAGGCAACGGGAGGGGAUAAGUUGAGAGUGAGAUGUUCAAAAUUAAAGCUAGAAGUGUUUUCAUUUCAGUUUUACAUAAUUUAUUCACUUUUUUUUUCUACUGUCAUUGUUAUCAUUGUGUUUUGACUAACAAUAUUUUUUUUCUUUGGUUAAUAAUAUGACUUAUUGUUUACAAUAAGUUAAGUCUUAUAUUUUUAUCAUAAUAUCUAUAGGUUGUUUACCUUUUUCAGCCUUACUUGAUAUCUGUGCCUUAUUUUCUUUAGUCCAUUUCAAGUAUAAGUGUAUCUAACUGCCUAUCUACUACUAUCCAUUUGGUGUUUCAGGGGAAUACUUGAACUUCUACAAACAGAUCAAAGUUUCAUGUUAGCACUACAACCUGUACCAAUCAUAUGUUGCAUUCUUGAUAAAAGGAAAAGAAAAAAAUACAAAAGUGGGGGCACUAAUUAUGAAACCUUGAUUGAGAACUUGACAGUGGACGAUUUGGAACUUUUGUGGAAAAGAGUACUCAAGUAAUGAUUCUGUCACUUGAGACAACUUCUCUUUGUUUGUUAGACUAAGGCUUUGAUAUGAACCGAGGAUGGUGCAAAUGAUUAUGUGUUGAUUAUGAAAUAAAUCUUUCACUAGCUGGUGAUGGAUUUGACACUGUGAUCAAAGCCAAGGCUGCAGUCAACAGUGUACCUGGCUUCCAGAAUAAGGUUUCCUGUUCUGACAUUUUGGCAAUGGCAACUAGGGAUGCCAUAACUCUGGAGGACCAUCUUAUGCAGUAGAGCUGGGAAGGCCAGAUAGGAAAGUUUCAACAAAAUUAUGUGUUAGACACCAUAUACCUCAUCCUGAUUUCUAAGACCAUAUUCUCUUGACAUGGCAUCUAGUGGUUCUGACCCACCUCCUCCACUCUCAGCACAAUCUAAAAGGAGAAGGGAAAAAGCAAUAUAUGGUGAAGUUGUUAUCAUGGUGAUGGAGUGCAACAAGAUCAACGCCCAGAUGAAGAAAAUCCUUAGUGAUUGAUUAUUAGGAAACUCUAGACCUGUCAUUCUAUGUUGUUUGACAUCUUAUGAAUUGUAAAAUUUAUAGAUUGCAUAUUAGGAAACUCUACACUUGUCAUUCUAUGUUGUUUGACAUCUUAUGAAUUGUAAAAUUUAUAUUGUUUUGCAUCUUAGGA
rnacentral:sRNA from 1 species